UCUAUUUGGAAAUUGUAUUCUCUCAACACUCUCUCCCUAGGCUGCUGGAGUGAAAGAUCUUCUUAUCCACAUUGGGCAGCAAUGAGAAGAACAGAGACGUGCUCAGUGUCCUGCCUGCCGCAGUGACAGCUCAAGGGAUAACUAAAUGGUAACUCAAGGUACAUUGCCCCAAAGGAUAGAGGCACCAACAUUUUGGUUUGGUGAAGGGAGAAAGGGUGAAAAAUACAUUUGAAAACAAAAAGCAUCAGUUAUCAUCAUCUAAUGGAUAACCUAUUUUUCUGAUUCAUUUUAUAUCUAAGACGCUCUGGGUAAAGAAAGGCAUCCAGGUGUUUAAAACUGCUAAUUACAAUUCUGAUGCUAUGCUCGCCUGGCUCCCCAUCCCC